CAGUAGCCGCGGGAAUACAGAGGGUGCAAGCGUUAAUCGGAAUUACUGGGCGUAAAGCGCGCGUAGGUGGUUUGUUAAGUUGGAUGUGAAAGCCCCGGGCUCAACCUGGGAACUGCAUCCAAAACUGGCAAGCUAGAGUACGGUAGAGGGUGGUGGAAUUUCCUGUGUAGCGGUGAAAUGCGUAGAUAUAGGAAGGAACACCAGUGGCGAAGGCGACCACCUGGACUGAUACUGACACUGAGGUGCGAAAGCGUGGGGAGCAAACAGGAUUAGAUACCCCAGUAGUCCCUGUCUCUUAUAU
rnacentral:rRNA from 1 species